GUGUUCUGUGUAAAAGAAUUCUCUAAUUGCUCGCGCCUGAAAAAAAUCUUAGAUAAGCGGGCAAACAAGUUUCCCUGGUGUUGGCGCAGUAUUCGCGCACCCCAACUUCGGU
rnacentral:sRNA from 1 species